GACAGAGGAUGCAAGCGUUAUCCGGAAUGAUUGGGCGUAAAGCGUGCGCAGGCGGUUUUGUAAGACAGAUGUGAAAUCCCCGGGCUUAACCUGGGACCUGCAUUUGUGACUGCAAGGCUAGAGUACGGUAGAGGGGGAUGGAAUUCCGCGUGUAGCAGUGAAAUGCGUAGAUAUGCGGAGGAACACCGAUGGCGAAGGCAAUCCCCUGGACCUGUACUGACGCUCAUGCACGAAAGCGUGGGGAGCAAACAGG
rnacentral:rRNA from 1 species